AUACCCGCUCCGCGAGUGGUGAGGACUAUUACUGGGCUUAAAGCGCCCGUAGUCGGCCGGGUGUGUCCUCCGUUAAAUCCACAGGCCUAACCUGUGGGCUGCGGGGGAUACUACCCGGCUUGGGGGUGGGAGAGGGCGGCGGUAUUCCCGGGGUAGGGGUAAAAUCCACUGAUCCCGGGAGGACCACCAGUGGCGAAGGCGGCCGCCCAGAACACGCCCGACGGUGAGGGGCGAAAGCUGGGGGAGCAAACGGGAUUAGAUACCCGAGUAGUCC
rnacentral:rRNA from 1 species